CACUAGUGAUUUGCGGCUGGAUCCCCUCCUUUCUGGAAACGCACUCAAUCUCUUUCGCCCACACUUAUCGGUUGUCGUUGACGACAGUAUUCGAGCCGUGGCCGACCAGCGCGAGCGGUCCCAGGGGCGUUGAUUGAAUCGCGGUGCGGGCCCUCGUGUGGCUUGCGCGAGGGUCUGUAGCUCAGUCGGUUAGAGCACCGUCUUGAUAAGGCGGGGGUCGUUGGUUCGAAUCCAACCAGACCCACCACGAUCUUCCUGGGGGUGUAGCUCAGCUGGGAGAGCACCUGCUUUGCAAGCAGGGGGUCAUCGGUUCGAUCCCGUUCACCUCCACCAACAUCACGUUCGCGCACUGGCGAGGCAUUUGGCAAUGCUUGGCCAGUGCGAUCGAAUGAUCGGCUGUCGUUCUUUAACAAUUCAUAGAGUCGAAUCAGCGUCGCUGACGGAAAGCGCUUUCAUGGCGCACCGUGCCGUCAGCGACACUUGAUUGCGUCACCAGACUUCGGCUCAGCAAUGAGCCUGAAGAACGGCAUAACGCGAAUACUCAACCGAUCGCGAGAUCGGAAGUGAAGAGUCCUUGACGACGCCUGUACAGCCAGGCGUCAAAGUUAUAGGGUCAAGUGACUAAGUGCAUGUGGUGGAUGCCUUGGCGAUUACAGGCGAUGAAGGACGCGAUAGCCUGCGAUAAGCUUCGGGGAGCUGGCAAAUGAGCUUUGAUCCGGAGAUUUCCGAAUGGGGAAACCCGG
rnacentral:misc_RNA from 1 species